GACGAACGCUGGCGGCGUGCUUAACACAUGCAAGUCGAACGGAAAGGCCCUGCUUUUGUUGGGUGCUCGAGUGGCGAACGGGUGAGUAACACGUGAGUAACCUGCCCUUGACUUUGGGAUAACUUCAGGAAACUGGGGCUAAUACCGGAUAGGAGCUCCUGCUGCAUGGUGGGGGUUGGAAAGUUUCGGCGGUUGGGGAUGGACUCGCGGCUUAUCAGCUGGUUGGUGGGGUAGUGGCUUACCAAGGCUUUGACGGGUAGCCGGCCUGAGAGGGUGACCGGCCACCUGGGGACUGAGAUACGGCCCAGACUCCUACGGGAGGCAGCAGUGGGGAAUAUUGCACAAUGGGCGGAAGCCUGAUGCAGCAGCGCCGCGUGCGGGAUGACGGCCUUCGGGUUGUAAACCGCUUUCGCCUGUGACGAAGCGUGAGUGACGGUAAUGGGUAAAGAAGCACCGGCUAACUACGUG
rnacentral:rRNA from 1 species